UUUUUACUCUUUCCCUAUUACCAACAUAUAUAGAAUCGUUACCUUUGUAAGGCACAAUAUGGGACAUUAUACCUGUAUUAUUGGCCAUAUGAGAUGUAGCGCCUGAAUCAGCAUAAAAUGUUGGGUCAUGAUUCUUUUUAUUCAGAUUAAUAGCAGCUAAUGCUUGUGGGAUUUGCUCUGUUUGAUAAGAGUAAUCAAACCUAUGCCAACAAU
rnacentral:lncRNA from 1 species